GUAGGUGGCAAGCGUUGUCCGGAAUUAUUGGGCGUAAAGCGCGCGCAGGCGGUUCUUUAAGUCUGAUGUGAAAGCCCACGGCUCAACCGUGGAGGGUCAUUGGAAACUGGAGAACUUGAGUACAGAAGAGGAAAGCGGAAUUCCACGUGUAGCGGUGAAAUGCGUAGAGAUGUGGAGGAACACCAGUGGCGAAGGCGGCUUUCUGGUCUGUAACUGACGCUGAGGCGCGAAAGCGUGGGGAGCAAACAGGAUUAGAUACCCUGGUAGUCCACGCCGUAAACGAUGAGUGCUAAGUGUUAGGGGGUUUCGCCCCCCUUAGUGCUGCAGCUAACGCAUUAAGCACUCCGCCUGGGAGUACGGCCGCAAGGCUG
rnacentral:rRNA from 1 species